GUCGAAAAUUGGAGCCAUGCAUCCCGCAAGCUGAUAUGUCAAAACAUGGACCAAAACCAAGAAAUCUGCAUGAUACCACUAGAGAGGGAUGAUACAUUACCAGCUGGUCCUGCUCCAUUUGGCUCCUCCCCUUGACAACGGUUGCCUGGUGCCACAACUGGAGCCCAUCACUAGGGCGGGCUGACAGCCAGCCUGCCAGAUGUGAGGCCUUCUCCAUGCUGUCUGUAAUCCGAGCAGAAACACAAACUUCAGGUGGGAUACAGACAUUCCUGAGGAUAUGGAGGCAGUGAAGCCUCGGGGUUAAAGCUGACUCUGGGAGAUGAGGAGGCACAUCGCAACAUUACUGCUUCAAAUGUAAUGCUUCCAGUUUGAAAGGGCCACAGAGUUUGCUUUAGGAAGUCGGACAUGAGGUUGGAGGCAUAAACCAGCAACCGGACAUUUAUCCAGGAGAUCGGGAUCUGCAUCCUUUGAGCUUCCUGCUGUUAAUAGCACCCAUCUCCGCGAACAAACGGCUGGCGCUUUGAAAAGAAAAGCCACGUCACACAACUCAGG
ensembl:lncRNA